CUUCUUUAAAGGGAAGGCAGGAGGCGGACAGCUUGGCUGUGACCCUUUAGCGCUGGGUCGCGUGUGGCCCACCCUCGGCCUGAGGCAUUGUUGGGUGGUUGGAGGUGGUUGUAGUAUUUGGAAAAGAACUUGUCCCUGAAGGGCUCAGGGGACUUGGUUUCUCAGCUCCUAAUAUGGAAAAUUAAGGCAUUUCUUACGAGAUGCAGAUUUUAAAGCAGGCAUAUCUACUCGACGGCUUUGGAUUACUGCACUGCACAAAUUCCAGUCUCUGUCGGUUUUGGCUGAGAAGAGCUGUGCUUCUCACCAGCUACUGGUGAGACAUUCGCCCUACAGGAAAGGGUCGGUAUGAUUGUGGACAUUGACAUGCGUAGCAAAAGAAAGUGGCUAAUUUGCGCCAAUAAUAAUAAAUUAGCUUGUAUUUGAAUUAGCCAAGUCUUUGCGGUUUUGCUAACUUGGCUUCACUUUGCAUGGAGUGGGAAGCGCCUGCUUCUGAAAAGGUGACUUUUUUCCUAAUUAGAAUGGACUCCUCUUAAGGCCAUGCAGUUUUCAAAGAAGAAAGACAAGCUGGACGUUUUGUUAGUAACAAAAGGUAGCUGAAGCAGAGAGAGAAGGCAGCAUACGUCAGCAUUUUCUUCUCUGCACUUACAAGAAAGAUCAAAGACUUUAAGACUUUCACUGUUUCUUCUACCGCUAUCUACUACGAGCUUCAAAGAGGAACCAGGAGUAUGGGAGGAGCAUGAAAGUGGACAAGGAACGUGACCAUUGAAGCACAGCACCACAGGGAGGGAUUUAGGCCCCAGGACUGCAGGCAGGCCUGGAUAAUAUCCAGCCUUCCACAAGAAGCUGGUGGAGCAGUGUUCCCUGACUCCUCCAAGGAAAGGAGACUCCCUUUCACGGUCUGCUAAGUAACGGGUGCCUUCCCAGACACUGGCGUUACCGCUUGACCAAGGAGCCCUCAAGCGGCCCUUACGCGGGCGUGACCGAAGGCUCACCUCUUGUCUUCUAGGUCACUUCUCACAAUGUCCCUUCAGCACCUGACCCUAUACCCGCUGGUUAUUCCUAGGUUAUAUUAGUAAUGCAACAAAGAGUAAUAUUAAAAGCUAAUGAUUAAUCAUGUUUAUAAUAAUGAUUGAUAAUUGUCCAUGAUCAUCUCUAUAUCUAAUUUGUAUUAUGACUAUUCUUAUUCUAACUAUUUUCUUUAUUAUACUGAAACAGUUUGUGCCUUCAGUCUCUUGCCUCGGCACCUAGGUAAUCCUCCACCCACAUCCUACUCUUGGACAACAGGAAAAUUAGAAAAGAUAAUGGAGAGCUUUUUCAGAAUGUUGAAUUUAGGAGUUGUGUGUGCUUUUGAUCUCCAUGUCAAUCCAUAAACAAUAAAUCCUGUUCUUAAAUUU
rnacentral:lncRNA from 1 species